CCUACGGGUGGCAGCAGUGAGGAAUAUUGGUCAAUGGACGAGAGUCUGAACCAGCCAAGUAGCGUGAAGGAUGACGGCCCUAUGGGUUGUAAACUGCUUUUAUAAAGGAAUAAAACGAGGCACGUGGGCCUUUUUGCAUGUACGGUAUGAAUAAGGAUCGGCUAACUCCGUGCCAGCAGCCGCGGUAAUACGGAGGAUCCGAGCGUUAUCCGGAUUUAUUGGGUUUAAAGGGAGCGUAGAUGGGUUGUUAAGUCAGUUUUGAAAGUUUGCGGCUCAACCGUAAAAUUGCAAUUGAUACUGGCAGUCUUGUGUACAGUUGCGGUCGGCGGCAUUCGUGGUGUAGCGGUGAACUGCUU
rnacentral:rRNA from 1 species